rnacentral:lncRNA from 1 species
GGGUCAUCAAUGAUUGUAAACGAGUGCAUCUGAUUGGAUGGUGACUCGAUUGAUCACACGCAAAGAAAAUUCAUAGAUUUUGAUAAAUCUCAUCAUUAUAAAAAUCGUUAGUCAGAUGACAACCUAACCAAACAACUUCAAACACCAACUCUUUAACAGUAGAGAAUCCCCAGCAGUGCACCAGGAAUCAAAUCCAUGGCCAAGACCACCAAGACUCAAGUCGUCAUGAACCAGUAAAGUCCACAUCCCUGAGUUCAACCA